rnacentral:rRNA from 1 species
UUGGCUUAGAAGCAGCCACCCUUUAAAGAAAGCGUAAUAGCUCACUGAUCGAGUCGUCCUGCGCGGAAGAUGUAACGGGGCUAAGCCAUAUACCGAAGCUGCGGAUGCGAGCUAGUCUCGCAUGGUAGGAGAGCGUUCCGUAAGCCUGCGAAGGUGCGUUGAAAAGCGUGCUGGAGGUAUCGGAAGUGCGAAUGCUGACAUGAGUAGCGAUAAAGGGGGUGAAAGGCCCCCUCGCCGUAAGCCCAAGGUUUCCUACGCAACGUUCAUCGGCGUAGGGUGAGUCGGCCCCUAAGGCGAGGCAGAAAUGCGUAGCUGAUGGGAAGCAGGUCAAUAUUCCUGCACCAUUGUUAGAUGCGAUGGGGGGACGGAUCGCGGAAGGUUGUCCGGGUGUUGGAAGUCCCGGUCGCUGCAUUGGAGAAGGCGCUUAGGCAAAUCCGGGCGCAGGAUUCAAGGGUGUGGCGCGAGCUCCUUCGGGAGCGAAGCAAUUGGAAGUGGUUCCAAGAAAAGCCUCUAAGCUUCAGUCUAACGAUGACCGUACCGCAAACCGACACAGGUGGGCGAGAUGAGUAUUCUAAGGCGCUUGAGAGAACUCGGGAGAAGGAACUCGGCAAAUUGGUACCGUAACUUCGGGAUAAGGUACGCCCUGGUAGCUUGACUGGCCUGCGCCAGAAGGGUGAAGGGGUUGCAAUAAACUGGUGGCUGCGACUGUUUAAUAAAAACACAGCACUCUGCAAACACGAAAGUGGACGUAUAGGGUGUGACGCCUGCCCGGUGCCGGAAGAUUAAAUGAUGGGGUGCAAGCUCUUGAUUGAAGUCCCGGUAAACGGCGGCCGUAACUAUAACGGUCCUAAGGUAGCGAAAUUCCUUGUCGGGUAAGUUCCGACCUGCACGAAUGGCGUAACGAUGGCCACACUGUCUCCUCCCGAGACUCAGCGAAGUUGAAGUGUUUGUGAUGAUGCAAUCUACCCGCGGCUAGACGGAAAGACCCCAUGAACCUUUACUGUAGCUUUGCAUUGGACUUUGAACCGAUCUGUGUAGGAUAGGUGGGAGGCUAUGAAACCGGAACGCUAGUUUCGGUGGAGCCGUCCUUGAAAUACCACCCUGGUUUGUUUGAGGUUCUAACCUUGGCCCGUGAUCCGGGUCGGGGACAGUGCAUGGUAGGCAGUUUGACUGGGGCGGUCUCCUCCCAAAGCGUAACGGAGGAGUACGAAGGUACGCUAGGUACGGUCGGAAAUCGUGCUGAUAGUGCAAUGGCAUAAGCGUGCUUAACUGCGAGACCGACAAGUCGAGCAGGUGCGAAAGCAGGUCAUAGUGAUCCGGUGGUUCUGUAUGGAAGGGCCAUCGCUCAACGGAUAAAAGGUACUCUGGGGAUAACAGGCUGAUACCGCCCAAGAGUUCAUAUCGACGGCGGUGUUUGGCACCUCGAUGUCGGCUCAUCUCAUCCUGGGGCUGUAGCCGGUCCCAAGGGUAUGGCUGUUCGCCAUUUAAAGAGGUACGUGAGCUGGGUUUAAAACGUCGUGAGACAGUUUGGUCCCUAUCUGCCGUGGGCGUUGGAAGUUUGAAGGGGGCUGCUCCUAGUACGAGAGGACCGGAGUGGACGAACCUCUGGUGUACCGGUUGUGACGCCAGUCGCAUCGCCGGGUAGCUAUGUUCGGAAGAGAUAACCGCUGAAAGCAUCUAAGCGGGAAACUCGCCUUAAGAUGAGACUUCCCCGGGGACUUGAUCCCCUUGAAGGGUCGUUCGAGACCAGGACGUUGAUAGGUCGGGUGUGUAAGCGCAGUAAUGCGUUCAGCUAACCGAUACUAAUUGCCCGUACGGCUUGAUCCUAUAACA